rnacentral:rRNA from 1 species
CCUACGGGUGGCAGCAGUGAGGAAUAUUGGUCAAUGGCCGGAAGGCUGAACCAGCCAAGCCGCGUGAGGGAGGAAGGCGCAGAGCGUCGCAGACCUCUUUUGCCGGGGGACAAAAGGCCGGACGGGUCCGGUUCUGAGGGUACCCGUAGAAAAAGCAUCGGCAAACACCGUGCCAGCAGCCGCGGUAAUACGGAGGAUGCGAGGGUUAUCCGGAUUUAUUGGGUGAAAAGGGUGCGAAGGCGGGCCUUUAAGCCGGCGGUGAAAUCCCGGGGCUCAACCCCGCAGAGCCGUCGGAACUGGGGGCCUUGAGUGCGGCGGAGGCAUGCGGAAUGCGCGGUGUAGCGGUGAAAUGCAUAGAUAUCGCGCAGAACCCCGAUUGCGAAGGCAGCGUGCCGUGCCGCCACUGACGCUGAGGCACGAAAGCGCGGGGAUCGAACAGGAUUAGAUACCCCAGUAGUC